rnacentral:rRNA from 1 species
AGAACGAACGCUGGCGGCAGGCUUAACACAUGCAAGUCGAACGCCCCGCAAGGGGAGUGGCAGACGGGUGAGUAACGCGUGGGAAUCUACCUGGUUCUGCGGAAUAACACAGGGAAACUUGUGCUAAUACCGCAUACGCCCUAAGGGGGAAAGAUUUAUCGGUGCCAGAUGAGCCCGCGUUGGAUUAGCUAGUUGGUGGGGUAAUGGCCUACCAAGGCGACGAUCCAUAGCUGGUCUGAGAGGAUGAUCAGCCACACUGGGACUGAGACACGGCCCAGACUCCUACGGGGGGCAGCAGUGAGGAAUUUUCCGCAAUGGACGCAAGUCUGACGGAGCAACGCCGCGUGCAGGAGGACGCUUUUCGGAGUGUAAACUGCUUUUCUGUGGGACGAGAGUGGACGGUACCACAGGAAGAAGCCCCGGCUAACUACGUGCCAGCAGCCGC